rnacentral:rRNA from 1 species
UACGAAGGGGGCAAGCGUUGUUCGGAUUUACUGGGCGUAAAGCGCACGUAGGCGGUCCUUUAAGUCGGGGGUGAAAUCCUGGAGCUCAACUCCAGAACUGCCUUCGAUACUGGCGAUCUUGAGUCCGGAAGAGGUGAGUGGAACUCCUAGUGUAGAGGUGGAAUUCGUAGAUAUUAGGAAGAACACCAGUGGCGAAGGCGGCUCACUGGUCCGGUACUGACGCUGAGACGCGAAAGCGUGGGGAGCGAACAGG